CAGUGGCAAGCAUCAAGCAUGACGCUCUCAAUUUGUACCUUCCAUCCUGCAGUACAAAGAGUUGUACAUUCUUAGCCUUGCAGAAUCUACUCCAUCCAGUAAAGUUGCACAUAAGGUCUUCUGUGGUAUCUCCGUCCCAUAGAUAAAAUCCAUAAAUCCGGUAUUCUCAUGCUCGUCCUGGUUGAUUUCUAGAUGAGUGUAACUUACAUUUUGGUCGUCACACAUAGAUACUUCCUAGUGACUUGGCUUGUUCACUGUGAGAGUGAGAUCACCACAUAAUGGUGGAAGAACUGAGACUCGAUGAAUUGCUACUAAA